rnacentral:rRNA from 1 species
GACGAACGCUGGCGGCGUGCUUAACACAUGCAAGUCGAACGGUGAAGCCCCAGCUUGCUGGAGUGGAUCAGUGGCGAACGGGUGAGUAACACGUGAGCAACCUGCCCCUGACUCUGGAAUAAGCGCUGGAAACGGCGGCUAAUACUGGAUACGAGAAGGGUCCGCAUGGGCACUUGCUGGAAAGUGUUUCGGUUGGGGAUGGGCUCGCGGCCUAUCAGCUUGUUGGUGAGGUAAUGGCUCACCAAGGCGACGACGGGUAGCCGGCCUGAGAGGGCGACCGGCCACGCUGGGACUGAGACACGGCCCAUACUCCUACCGGAGGCAGCAGUGGGGAAUAUUGCACAAUGGGCGAAAGCCUGAUGCAGCGACGCCGCGUGAGGGAUGACGGCCUUCGGGUUGUAAACCUCUUUCAGCAGGGAAGAAGCGAAAGUGACGGUACCUGCAGAAGAAGCACCGGCUAACUACGUG